GCAAAAAUCAUGAAAUACUGGGGACAAUCCUUAGGAAAAUGCACCAUUAUACGGAAAAUGUUAUAUAAACAAGUUUUCCCUGCUAAAUUAAAUUUACACCUCUAUUCAAUGCCACAACUAUAUAUGUUAUCCAGAGUCAAGAGAGAAAAACUGGGUGGAAGGUGGAGAGAUGGCACACAGAGAAACUAGCAGUUAGUGGAGGUCUAUGAGCAUAUGUAGCUGUACAGCACUUUCCUCAGAGCUGUAUACAUUUCAGGCUGGGCACCAGAGCCUCAAGGCACAUGUUUAGAAAACAUUCUAGAGAUUAAUGCUGCACACAAAAACCUCAUUUCAUAAAUGCUAUGAAAAGUAAUUCAGUUUUGGCAGAGCUUUCCCCAUAAAAUUUGUGGGUUGUCAUCAGUGUUGGUGUGUUUACAGCUGACUGUGCUGUCAUUAGCUAGUUUUAGAUGGGGCCAGGCAGAAAGCAUCAUUAUUUCCCCAGGCAUAGACUUUUAGAAGAUGCGACAAAACACAAAUAAACAAGCAUUUUAAAUGUUAAUGUUGUUCAUUUGUCACCAUAAACAGGAACUUAAUUGAACUAUGAAAGAUCUAUGAAAGUAUAAUAAAAUCCUUUCCUAUCCUUUUCACGAGAAACAUACCAGCAUAAUCAGAAUUGAAAAAGUAAUAGAUAGUAGUGUACUAUAAGAUUUUCUCCAAAUGUUGGGACAGAAGUAUGGAAUUUAAAGAGAGACUCCCAGAUUACUGCUUAUACAUGAAAGAACAAGUUGAAAGUUAGGGCAACGAGCCAGUGAUGGUAUCGUCCUAAUACUGAAUGAAUUUUAAUGUUUUCUAAGUUAUAAGUAAGUUAAAUAAGCUUUAUAAGUUUAUUACCACCCAUGGGUGUAGAUUUAGUUCAAACAUAAAGGAGCUGAAGUGUAAAAGGCUAUUAUCCUAAUAUUUUUAUAAAUAAACUAGUUAAAAACAGCUUUGUUACAUCUGUAACAUUAUUUAAGUUGUCUCCACUUAUCCAUCUUCCUAUCUGCCCAUCCAUACAUCAUUCAGUCUCAUCUAUCCUUUAUCCACAAGUAUUUAUGACCAAAUAAUUGUUACAUUAAUACAAAUUACACAGGACACAAUAAGAAUCCAGAUGAAAAUACACUAACACUUAGACAUUGUUUAUUGUGAGAUUUGAUCAUGCCACGGUAGUGCAGACAAGGGAAUAUAAAACUCAGCUCUUCUCAGCAGAAUUAGAAAAAUUCUGAUCAGAAGGUUGUGAGCACCACCAAGCUGAGCAAGGCCCUUUUCCCUCAACUGCUCAGCUGUAUAAAUGAGAAACAAGUUAUUCUGGAUAAGAGCACCUGACAAAUACUGAACAUAUAAAGUUAAACUUCAUCAGUACCUGUGGAAGCUAAUUAAAAGCAAUGGUAGCAUAAUGUAGCGAGUUGUGUGUGCAUUAAUCCCAUCAUGGCACCGGUGUUCAGAAUAAAAUGUAAUGCACAAAGGCUGUUUUUUGCCAGCUUCUAGGGUUAAAUGGCAAUGAAUUAGCGAACAAGCUACAAUGUGUGUGUAAUGUCAGUUCGAUUACUCCAUAUUAACCCAACACCUCCUGACUGAAUUAUGCCCAGUAACCUGUUUAUCUGAGGAGGGAGAACACUGAGGAUGAGAGAGUCCAUCACAGAGCUCAGGAGAACAUCAGGAGGUCCCACAGUACAGAAGACACUUCACAAGUUCUAGAACACUUACUAUUUGAGAAGACACUAUUUGUGGCUAAAUGUUUGAACAACCAACAGAAAAGACAAGCAAAUAACUGAGCAGAUAAAUGAAAGAUUGCAUCCCGGCUUUCCUUACUUUAGCCAUGUCAGUGAUCGUGUACUUCUGAACACUUCUGGAAUGAUGCAGUUCUAUCAGAUGGUGGAAGUUUGGAUUGCCAUGUGGUCAUGCCUAAAUUGUUUUUAAUCUGCAGUGUUCUGCAUCUGGCACAGGUGGAUUGCUUGAGGGAAGAAACUGUUCCUAUGUCUGGUCGUUCUGGAGCUCAGGGCUCUGU